rnacentral:rRNA from 1 species
GUAGGUGGCAAGCGUUGUCCGGAAUUAUUGGGCGUAAAGCGCGCGCAGGCGGUUCUUUAAGUCUGAUGUGAAAGCCCACGGGCUCAACCGUGGAGGGUCAUUGGGAACUGGAGAACUUGAGUACAGAAGAGGAAAGCGGAAUUCCACGUGUAGCGGUGAAAUGCGUAGAGAUGUGGAGGAACACCAGUGGCGAAGGCGGCUUUCUGGUCUGUAACUGACGCUGAGGCGCGAAAGCGUGGGGAGCAAACAGGAUUAGAUACCCUGGUAGUCCACGCCGUAAACGAUGAGUGCUAAGUGUUAGGGGGUUUCCGCCCCUUAGUGCCGCAGCUAACGCAUUAAGCACUCCGCCUGGGGAGUACGGCCGCAAAGGCUG